AACACAAGCUGCAGGCGUGUUCUCAAAUGCCCGUCGUGUUUAUUACAAUGUAACACAUGGCUUAAGCUCUUUAUUUGUUAAAUAGAGCUUCUAUAUGAAGAAAACCAGGAGAAUUAGGCAACAUUCAAUCCGGCUUGUCAAGCUCCUUUUAAAGUACGGACCAAAUUCUGACGCUUAAAACCAUUUGGGUGUGAAAUUUCCCAAGAGUCAAACUCUUUUCUUUAGGUGGAAAACGAUAACGGACAGAGAACAGAUGAUCAUUUGACUCAUUCGAUUUUUGUUUAUUUUGACUAUUUUUUUUUCGAUAAAUUUUCUCUAACCUAUAGUCUUAAGUAUAUAUCAUGCAAGGUAAUGUAAAGGAAUAGGCCAAAACUAAAGGAUGGAGGAAAAAGCAUGGCGGCUUGGAGCGAGACAAAAUUGUAAGCUAAGAUCCGGCCCGGUGAGAUUGGGGCGAGACCAGAAAGGGGACGAUAAGGCGAAGGAAAUUGAAGCUAAGAGAAUGAGACGAGACUAUAUGAAGGAGGAGAGGGCGAAAGAAACUGAAGAGAGUCAAAAAGUAAGCCAAGAGAAUUGGGUGAGACUAUAAGAGGGAGGAGAGGGCGAAAGAAACUGAGGAGAGGCAAAAAGGAAGCGAAGAGAAUGGGGUGAGACUUUAAGAGAGAGGAGAGGACGAAAGAAAGUGACGAGAGGCAAAAAGUAAGCCAAGAGAAUUGGGUGAGACUAUAAGAGGGAGGAGAGGGCGAAAGAAACUGGAGAGGCAAAAAAGAAGCGAAGAGAAUUGGGUGAAACUUUAAGAGAGAGGAGAGAGCGAAAGAAAUUGAAGAGAGGCAAAAAGUAAAUCAAGGGAACGGGAAGAGACUAUAAGAGGGAGGAGAGAAAAGGAGGCCUUGGAAACUGGAUCGUGACAAAAAGUAAGGCCAGAGAAAAGAGUUAGAUUUAAAGGGGGAGUAAUACGCUAGGGCGACACAAAUAUUAAGCCGUAAGAGAAUGGGGCGAGAUUGUAAGGGAGAGAAGAGCGGCAAAAGAAACUGGGACGAGACAAAAAGUACGCUAAAAGCAGGCGACGAGGAAAAGGGCCAGGGAACUAGGGCGAGAUAUAAAAUGAUAUCGAAGGGAACGGGAAGAAAGUACAAGGGGGAGGAGAGGGCAAGGGAAACUAGAGCGUGACCCACAGCGAGGACAGGGUUUGGGGCGAGACAAGAAGAAAACCAGGGGAGAUGGGCGAGGGUUAUAGUAGUGGACAAAAAGUAACCCAAGGUAGUGGGUGUAAUGCUAAGUGAGGGAGGAGAAGGUGAUAGCAGUAGGUAGGGAAUGUGAGUGGGAAUGGAGCUAACACAGGGAAAAAAAGAACAGCUAGGGCAGGUCGAGUAAUAAUCGCUUUGAAUUACAAUUUCGCAAAGUCCUUUCUUUUGUAGUUUUUUCUCGCUUGCUUUCCUCGCUCGAUGUCUUCGUUAGCAGCUCGCCCUUAACUUCUUCCCUCGUAGUAAGUCUCGUAGAAACUCGCCGACUAAGCUUCGAAGUCGACUUGUAAACAUAUAUCUAUCACUCAGUUCUAUUUUUGUAUAAAAUAUCAAAGUGAUCUAGAUAUUGAUGUCCUUGACUGACUGAAGAUGGAGUUUUGUUUAUCUUGAUUAUUCAAGCAGUUCAAAAGCGCGUGUGAUAUCAAACGAAUAUAUUAAAGGUCUUUACCAUCGAAAUAAUUACUGUUGAAUUAGUAAACGACAAGGAAAUGAGUGCGGUGAACUAACUUCAUAGUUAAUUAUUGUAUCACUAAUUUUGAUUUGAACAUAACUUGACGUUUGGAGAUGAGAAAACAAAUAUAAACGAACAUAACCUUUUUCACUGGAUACGGAGAAGAGCUUUCAUGCAUGUACACACGUAUGACGUAAACGUCAGUAUUCGUAAUGAACUAUUGAAAACAAUGGACGCAUGGUAAAUAAGGAACUGGAAGGAACACGAACCUUGCGUCAUAAAAAAUAUUGUCAAAGAAAGACUUUGUCAAGCAAACAUUUUGCUCUUUUAGAAUUAUGAAAAAUUCCCUCGUUGUCAAGGGAUUUUUUCGUGUUAUUCCUAUCAUGAGGAAAUCUGAAGGGCAAACAGAAAUCGACGAUGUUAUGGCGCAUGGCUUCUACUUGCUUUUCAGGGAAAGAGUAAUCCGGAACGUGAUAGAGAUUUCAUACGCGAACGACAAGUUUUAAAGGCGAUCAUAAUCGAGUAAUUCCAGGGAUCACUAAUGGCCUUAUCGCCAGCAAUUCUUGUCAUCGUAUGGACUCCAGCUGAACAUUAAGUAGGCAGGUAAGAGCAUUAACUUACAACUGAUAUUUGGCAAGCGAAUGUUGAUCAAGAAAAUUCCAUCUAGCAGUAAAAACAAUGAAGCUAAAUCAAACACUUUAUGUUUGGCCACUUAAGCUAGCCUGGUUUUCACCAGCGACGCAAGGACAAGCGCAAACAUAAUAAUUCAUAUUUACCACACGUGGUUAUGUUUAGCCAAUGAAAUCAUUGGAUCCUUAUAACCUCGCGCCUAAACAGUUUGGAAGGUUCGGCUGAUUUUACUUGUGCUUUUGUUUACGUCGAAUUUCGUUUUCACUUGGGUCAUCCCUAUUGCUUGCGCUUGUGCUUACGCUUGUUGAAAACCAGGUUUAAAAUCUUCUCCAGUGACCCAAAUUGAGUGUCUGUAUGUUCUUUACAUUCAGUAACAAGACGAACACACUGAUACGAGCGUUCGAUGCAACAUGUCCAAGCAAACCGCCUUGAAUACAAUCUUCUGUCUAGUCCGUAAAACUCAAUAUCAAUAAGAUACAGUCUAUUUUUUACUUCAGCACUUUCUAGAAGUUUAGACGAGUUUUAUUUUCGCGGUGUCGCGUGAAAUUCAGUUGAACGCGAGGGUACAUUUUGUCUUGGACAAUUUAAUAAUAAUAAUUGAUAAUUCUAAUUAAAAUUAAUUUUCAGGUUAUACUGUGCGCUUUAAUGAUAAAUUUGCCUUUUCCACUUCAAAAGGUCCUUAUUUUAGUUUUAUAGAAUGUUCUGUCUUUAGAUUCGUCCAAUGAUCUGUUUUAGUAAGUAAAAUCUGGCUUUAAGAUGACUGAAAAAAAAAAUGUCGUUAAUAAGAAUUAUGCACAAUCAAAGUUUUAAUCUUAAUUACUGUUUUCGUAAUCCUAGUGAACUAUAGCCAUGAUUAAGAGUUCGUCCCGUUCGAUUCUUUAACGGAUUAAAACACUUUCACUUGAAAAUAUAUUUAUCUUGAAAUUACUUUUGGUAUAUGAAUGAAAGAACGAGAGUUUGCUCUGACAGUGAAUUAGAUAUUCAGAUUUUCGCACACAUGGUGAUGAACUUUUGUCAUUUUGAUAACCACCAUAAUUUCGCUAUUAAAAUUAAGUCAUCCUUUAGAUAGAAAACAUGCCUCUACACACGAGUUCGUUUUCGCCUUCAACUGAAAAAGCUGCCGUGGGACCCACCUUGAAGAAUGCCCAGUCUCUUUAAUACUGCUCUAAGGCCUUAGCAAAUUCAAAUUAAACAGUGCAAAUAUUAAACAUGGACUGCUUACAGUUUGCUUGAACCAUAACAAACAUACAGGCCCGAAAGAUCAACUUAAUUACUACUGGUGCGAGAGAACGAGAGUCAAGAUAUUCCAUAAAUAUGCCCCUACAGCUGACCCAUCAAGGUGAUCAAGCUUGUAGACCUACUAGAAAUUUGAAGGCUAUAGUUAUGCUUGAUCGAUAUUGGAAUGGAAAACAACAGUGACAAGCGAAACGUUAACAAACAAGUGUGCCAGUUUUGCUGCCAAAAAUUCAGUCAAUAUGGAACGAUCCAAGACUUGGAAAUUUCGAUACACUGACUGGCCGUUAAUAACAUUAUCUCAUAAAGAAAUGUUCCUGCCAUUUCAGUACAGAUAAGAGAGGGGUCUUUUCCUAAUUGAAAGGGCAUUAAUGAUACUCAGAAUGAUUUAAUUAUCUUUUAGUCAAACUUCUGUUUCGUUCAUUUCAAUUAUUUGAAUCAAGAAUGAAAGAUGAUCGAGUUCUGACUCAUGCAACAAUGUUUUCUGUUAGUGAAUACAUUUUCUAAGCUCAAGUUUUGAAAAUAAUUGUUUUAAGUUUAGGGAAAUCAGUUUUAUUGUUUGCCCAAAAACUGACAGAAGAUUAUGUUUACCUUCGCACGUAUUAACGCUCACAAAUCAAACUUGAAGAAAUACAUCAAAAAUAUAAAGCCUCGUCCCAUUGGACCUUUCAAAACUAAACAGCGUUCUAGCAAAUAACACUGCCCGUUAGAAUAAACCUUGAUUUUUUUUUAAUUUUUUACAUAUUGCGUCACAAACUUGUUCUAACGAGAACUUCUUUAAAUAAAGAAGAGCAAACGUUUGUUCGCUUUGAAAAACAUUUAGCUCCAAUUUUGUCAAGCGACAUAUCUCAAGCAUUCAAGAAGCUGACGAUUUUUUUGCUGUUUCUGCUGAAAAAAACAAGUGAAACGCUGUGUUAAUUACUUCAAAGAUGGCGGACGAAGAUAAUACAGUUAUCCAGCCCACCUCGAGGGGGGUUAGGAACGAGCGCUUCCGUCAGGAGAUAGUGUCGUUUCCGCCCUAAGUUCUCUGUUGCCGUAUCAGACAAUCCAGACACUGCGCAGUCAUUUGGAGCUGUCCAUUGUCGCAUCAGACAAUCCCGGAAGACACUACGCAGUUAUUUUGGAGAUUUGUUGCUUUCGAGCAAAACCCUGUUGAUUGACUGUCUCAGUGCUUCAGAGGUAAACCGUGUUACCAACUUAACCGAAUUUGACUUGUUCAACCGUCUUUUUUAUGAAAUAUCGAAGUUUUAGAACAGAAAGACAGGAAAAGACAAUUUUCGUCUAAUUUCACAUCUACAUACAACGUUGAAGACCGCGCUUUCAAAACUAAGAUAUUGUAAUGAAUUUUCCACGUCUCAAAUUUCUAUCCUAUACUGAGGUUCGAAAUGUUAACGGGAGAUAAGUUCGGUCAAGAGAAGAUUGAAUAAUAAGCACUUAAUGACUGGCCCGAGGGAAACAGUGAGUUAUGUUUCCCCGAGACCCUCAUUGAGGUCGAGGGGAC